rnacentral:rRNA from 1 species
AUUGAACGCUGGCGGAAUGCUUUACACAUGCAAGUCGAACGGCAGCACGGACUUCGGUCUGGUGGCGAGUGGCGAACGGGUGAGUAAUAUAUCGGAACGUGCCCAGUCGUGGGGGAUAACGUAGUGAAAAUUACGCUAAUACCGCAUACGAUCUAUGGAUGAAAGCGGGGGAUCGCAAGACCUCGCGCGAUUGGAGCGGCCGAUAUCAGAUUAGGUAGUUGGUGAGGUAAAGGCUAACCAAGCCGACGAUCUGUAGCUGGUCUGAGAGGACGACCAGCCACACUGGAACUGAGACACGGUCCAGACUCCUACGGGAUGCAGCAGUGGGGAAUUUUGGACAAUGGACGCAAGUCUGAUCCAGCCAUUCCGCGUGCAGGACGAAGGCCUUCGGGUUGUAAACUGCUUUUGUACAGAACGAAAAGGUCUCUAUUAAUACUAGGGGCUCAUGACGGUACUGUAAGAAUAAGCACCGGCUAACUACGUGCCAGCAGCCGCGGUAA